rnacentral:rRNA from 1 species
CACGUAGGGCGCAAGCGUUGUCCGGAAUUAUUGGGCGUAAAGAGCUCGUAGGCGGUCUGUUGCGUCCGCUGUGAAAACUCGGGGCUUAACCCCGAGCCUGCUUCCGAUACGGGCAGACUAGAGGUAGGCAGGGGAGAGCGGAACUCCUGGUGUAGCGGUGGAAUGCGCAGAUAUCAGGAAGAACACCGGUGGCGAAGGCGGCUCUCUGGGCCUUACCUGACGCUGAGGUGCGAAAGCGUGGGGAGCAAACAGG